GCAUGUACAUAAAGGAUGCCCGGCAGGAGAAUGUGAGACGUGUUUCAUUACCUCAUCAAAUGGAUUCCUGCAGUAAAUCCAUGCAAUAUUCUAUGCAUAUCUGUCACAUGAUCUUAUAUUUGUUUUCUUCACGGAGGAAGCAUCUGCUGAGUUCUCCAGCGUGAAUCUCUCCGCUCUUCUCUGGCGCUCCUGGAACAUGAUGGAUCCUCUGUUGGUGUUCAGGUUCAGCUCCUCCAUCAUCACAUCCCUAGGAACGCUGAUCUUCUUCCCAAGAGUUGGAUUCAGCUGAGCUGGAGUUUCUGUGAGCCCAGAUCAGACACACUGUGGCUUACGUCAAUGGAAAAUCGCAAACAAACAUACUGAGACACUGGGAUAGUUUGAGGAAUGUUUUGUAUGUGGAGACUUCCCUCCGUUUAGAUCACUCAACUGACUGAGGAAGAAUCUGCUUUGAUCUGUUCUGCUCCUGUCAGUCAACUGCACCGUCUCUCAUAUGAGUCCUUACAAGACUGAAGUCCAUCCACAGUCACCUUAUGAUUGCCCUGAUUAAUUGUGAUAUGUCAUUUUGUAGGAAUGUGUGUGUG